rnacentral:rRNA from 1 species
UACGUAGGUGGCAAGCGUUAUCCGGAUUUACUGGGUGUAAAGGGCGAGUAGGCGGGAUUGCAAGUCAGAUGUGAAAACUAUGGGCUCAACCGAUAGAGUGCAUUUGAAACUGCAGUUCUUGAGUGAUGGAGAGGCAGGCGGAAUUCCCGGUGUAGCAGUGGAAUGCGUAGAUAUCGGGAGGAACACCAGUGGCGAAGGCGGCCUGCUGGACAUUAACUGACGCUGAGGCGCGAAAGCGUGGGGAGCAAACAGG